rnacentral:rRNA from 1 species
UACGAAGGGGGCUAGCGUUGUUCGGAAUUACUGGGCGUAAAGCGUGCGCAGGCGGCUAUCCAAGUCAGUGGUGAAAGCCCGGAGCUCAACUCCGGAACUGCCAUUGAAACUGUUUAGCUCGAGUACGGGAGAGGUGAGUGGAAUUCCCAGUGUAGAGGUGAAAUUCGUAGAUAUUCGGAAGAACACCAGUGGCGAAGGCGACUUACUGGACACAUAUUGACGCUGAGGUGCGAAAGCGUGGGGAGCAAACAGG